rnacentral:misc_RNA from 1 species
CGCACAUUGCGCCCGCUGGAAUUCCAGCGGGCAUGCCUGUUCGAGCGUCAUUUCAACCCUCAAGCCUGGCUUGGUGUUGGAGCACUACCCGUUACACGGUAGGCUCUGAAAUUCAGUGGCGGGCUCGCUAAGACUCUGAGCGUAGUAGUUUUACCACCUCGCUUUGGAAGGAUUAGCGGUGCUCUAGCCGUAAAACCCCCCAAAUCUUCUGAAUUUUGACCUCGGAUCAGGUAGGAAUACCCGCUGAACUUAA